rnacentral:misc_RNA from 1 species
GAUGAAGAACGUAGCGAAAUGCGAUAAUUAAUGUGAAUUACAGAAUUCCGUGAAUCAUCGAGUCUUUGAACGCACAUUGCGCCUCAUGGCAUUCCGUGAGGCAUGCCCAUCUCAGCGUUAGAAAAUAUUCUCAAAUUUUAGUUUUGUGCUAAAAUUUGGAUCAUGUCAAGGAAGCUAUUACUAUUAUUGUGAUCGCUCUUUGGAAAUUGAUAGGUCUUUGAGUUGCUACUCAUAGAACGUGAUGAAUCUUUCUUCGUUCUAUUGUAAUUCACUCUGGUAGUCCUAAAACUUGUAUGCCUGUGGCAUAUCUUGUAAUUUGACCUGAGAUUGGGUAGGGAUACCCGCUGAACUUAAGCAUAUCAUAAGCGGAGGA